GGAAACGUCGCAUAGUUGGUCUAGUGCGCCACAUUGGAAAUGUGGUAUGCUCAUCCGGGCAUCAAGGGUUCGAAUCCCUUCGUUUCCGCCA
rnacentral:tRNA from 1 species